rnacentral:rRNA from 1 species
UAAUUGUAAAAAAGAAUAACAGGAUUCCCCUAGUAACUGCGAGUGAAGCGGGAAAAGCUCAAAUUUAAAAUCUGGUGGUCUGUGGUCACCCGAGUUGUAGUCUGGAGAAGUGCUUUCUGCGCUGGACCGUGUAUAAGUACCUUGGAACAGGACGUCAUAGAGGGUGAGAAUCCCGUCUUUGACACGGACUACCAGUGCUUUGUGAUGCGCUCUCAAAGAGUCGAGUUGUUUGGGAAUGCAGCUCAAAAUGGGUGGUAAAUUCCAUCUAAAGCUAAAUAUUGGCGAGAGACCGAUAGCGAACAAGUACCGUGAGGGAAAGAUGAAAAGCACUUUGGAAAGAGAGUUAAACAGUACGUGAAAUUGCUGAAAGGGAAACGCUUGAAGUCAGUCGCGUCGCUCAGAACUCAGCCUUGCAUUUAGCUUGGUGCACUUUCUGAGCAACGGGCCAGCAUCAAUUUUGGCCGUUGGAAAAGGGCUUGGGGAAUGUGGCACCAAUUUAUUGGUGUGUUAUAGCCUCUUGUCACAUACAAUGGUCGGGAUUGAGGAUCGCAGGGCGUUUACGCUCUUAGGAUGCUGGCGUAAUGGCUUUAAGCGACCCGUCUUGAAACACGGACCAAGGAGUCUAACAUGCCUGCGAGUGUUUGGGUGGAAAACCCGAGCGCGUAAUGAAAGUGAAAGUUGAGACCUCUGUCGUGGAGGGCACCAACGCCCGGACCAGACGUUUACUGACGGUUCCGCGGUAGAGCAUGUAUGUUGGGACCCGAAAGAUGGUGAACUAUGCCUGAAUAGGGUGAAGCCAGAGGAAACUCUGGUGGAAGCUCGUAGCGAUUCUGACGUGCAAAUCGAUCGUCAAAUUUGGGUAUAGGGGCGAAAGACUAAUCGAACCAUCUAGUAGCUGGUUCCUGCCGAAGUUUCCCUCACGAUAGCAGAAACUCAUAUCAGAUUUAUGUGGUAAAGCGAAUGAUUAGAGGCCCUUGGGGUUGAAACAACCUUAACCUAUUCUCAAACUUUAAAUAUGUAAGAACGAGCCGUCACUUGAUUGGACCGCUCGGCGAUUGAAAGUUUCUA